GUAGGCGGUUAUGUAAGCGAAUAGUGAAACCUGGUGGCUCAACCACACAGACUAUUAUUCGAACUGCAUAACUCGAGAAUGGUAGAGGUAACUGGAAUUUCUUGUGUAGGAGUGAAAUCCGUAGAUAUAAGAAGGAACACCAAUGGCGUAGGCAGGUUACUGGGCCAUUUCUGACGCUAAGGCACGAAAGCGUGGGGAGCGAACCGGAUUAGAUACCCGGGUAGUCCACGCCGUAAACGAUGGAUACUAGCUGUUGGAGGUAUCGACCCCUUCAGUAGCGAAGCUAACGCGUUAAGUAUCCCGCCUGUGGAGUACGGCCGCAAGGCUAAAACAUAAAGGAAUUGACGGGGACCCGCACAAGCGGUGGAUCAUGUUCUUUAAUUCGAUGCUAAACGAAGAACCUUACCAGGACUUGACAUCCUUGGAAGCACUACGAAAGUAGCGUGUGCCUUUUGGAACCAAGUGACAGGUGUUGCAUGGCCGUCGUCAGCUCGUGUCGUGAGGUGUUUGGUUAAGUCCAUCAACGAGCGCAACCCUUAUGGUCUGUUGUAUUUUUUCAGGCCAGACUGCCCCGGUAACGGGGAGGAAGGAGGGGAUGAUGUCAGGUCAGUAUUACCCUUACGUCCUGGGCUAGAAACGUGAUACAAUGGCAAGUACAAUGCGCAGCGAAGCCGCGAGGUGAAGCAAAUCGCAUCAAAGCUUGUCCCAGUUCGGAUUGGAGGCUGAAACUCGCCUCCAUGAAGUCGGAAUCGCUAGUAAUCGCAGAUCAGCAAGCUGCGGUGAAUACGUUCCCGGGUCUUGUACACACCGCCCGUCAAACCAUGAAAGUGACCAACACCCGAAGUCCGAUUCGUCGGCCUAAGGUGGGGGGCAUGAUUGGGGUU
rnacentral:rRNA from 1 species